UUAUUCCCAUCAACAACAUCUGCAGCCCAGGAGCACACUUUGACUUCAUGACCUUUAGCACCCAGGGUCAUAUUUGCAAGAAGCUCCAUUUAAACCCAUUAGGUGCCAAAGGUACACUCUGUAAAAGCCAGUCAAUGUGCGUCCAGGAGCACAGUUCCCUGAGGCCCCUGCUCUUUCUCCCUUCUGGGAGGUUUGUAAAGAAACAACUCAGUGGUGCUGCUAAGAACUUUGGCACCUCAGCUGAGGAAUUUGCUGUCAGGAGGUGCAUCCACUCAACAGCCAGGCAUGCAGCAGCCAGUGGCCCUGGAGUCCCACCGCCCGCGAACCCAGGCUGCACCAUCCAGUUUCUUCAACUUGGGUACCAUCAAAAGAAGAAACUUCUAACUGCAGGCCCAACUCUGAUUCUGCACAUCAGAGAAGGGAAUCCAGAAACUUCUCUGCAGGGACUAGACCAGUUCCCCUGCCCAGAGAAGGCUCUGUGAUUUAAGUCAGCAUGUGGUUGACUCCCAAGCUCAGUCUGGGACCUGCUGGCACAGCCUGGGUGGGAGCAGUUGGCCAGGAGGAAUCUGAGAUCCCAAAGAGUUGAUUACCAGACGAGGAGUCAACACGAACCAUCCCAAGACCCCUCAGGUGGCACCAGGAAGAUGGAAUUGGCACAUAACUCCGAGAAGUUACAAGUCCCUGCAUUUCCUGCCCUGACCCUCACAUUCCUCUGCCAAUAAUAUAUCACCCAUCCCUCUGCCCAAUGGGUUAGGCAGAUUUAGGGAAGGUCCCUGCCUUCUCGUUGGGCUUCCCUUCUGAUAAUAAAGCUUUCUCUGCUUCAAAAAGAAAAGGAAUGGACCUCCAGUGGAUAGGCAGAGUCAAAAGACUGAAGCAUAUUCAAAAGACCUGUGUGAAAACAUCACCCCCACACCUACAGUUACAAAUCCCUAAGUUCUAUCCAAACAGCAUGUUCUGCUGGAGCUGAACUCAUUCACUCAAAACUUAGGAAGUGUUUUGCUCUGUACAGUGCUCGGGUUUGUAGAAUGCUAAAAGUAGACAUGAAGCAUUUACAUAAUCAUAGUUUUUCAUGCCCCCAUUGGAAGUGGUAGACUACUUGCUAAUAGAAUAUCAGUAGGUGAAAGAGAACAAAGGUCAAUCAAUGAUGUUGCUGAACCUUGUAACAUUAAAAAAUUCAGAAUUCUUUAGACAUUUUCCAACAAAUUUUCUCCUGAACUAAAGUUACUCAGCCUCCAUUCUCUUAAAGAGUGUGGUGAGUGAAACUUUGUUAGGCACUUCUCAUGUGCUGGACCCCAUGUGAGUCACUUCACAACUCUUCAAGGGGCAAGCCUCUUGUGAUGAGAAAUAAUCAGAAAUGCCUGUUGUUUCUAGGCUCGUCACUGACGGCAGAAUAUGGGAUCCGUCCCACUGAACUCUGGCCCACACUAUGUGGCAAGAUGGACUCCUAGAGAAGUGAUUGGUUAUGAUGGUUCACAUUUUGAAUAAUGCCCAUGUGCCACGUACUUGGAUGUAUCAGCUCCUCUAAAAUUCAUGACCACCCCGCAGAGGCCCCCUACUCUGACCCCAACAUUGUAGAUGGAGGGACAGAAGCUUGGCACCAAGUGCCUUCCAAAGGCCUGUGUGGAGCCGGUUGUGUGAGACUGGAGACCAAGCCCUGGGGGCCUGGGUCCCUCCAAGGGCCUAGUGACUCUGCCAAGGCCAAACAGAUAGCAGCACCCACUGUGGCCCACAUUUAGAGCCCCUGCCGGCCAAGAGUGAGAAAGGGGAAUUCACCUUCGGCUUCUCAACCCUGGUGUGGACUUGGCCGGGCACUCAGCAAGGCCUGGAGCUGCUCCAGCAGCUUCAAACCACCGGCGAGCUUCCAGGGCACCACAGAGAGAGCUCAGAUGCUUCCAGAGAAAAUUCCACACAGGGGCUCUGCCAGCAGAAGGAGAGGCUUUAUGGGAUGGUGGGGGUGCAGUGCCAUGGGGGGCGAGGCAUCGACUGUGUGGUUUGGACCGUGGGCAAAAGGUUGAGGGUCCUGCUCCUCUGCCCCAAUAUCCAAGUAUAUUGGAUAUAGGGAAAGUGUGUCCUUUCACAACAGAGCCACAGUCUUGCUAAGCACUAAGCCAGAACAGAUUUGCUGAGGCACAGACCCCCUCACUUGUUGAGCCCCUCCCUCUUCUUGUUGGGGCCUUGGUGUUGCUGUCCCCUUGCAGGUACACAACUGGACAUGUAAUGUGGGGUCUCUCCCAACAGUUGAUGACCUCUGUAAUUAUGCGACUGUAGCAAACAGCCACUGCGUGGGACGUGGGUUCUGAUCUCCUAGUGGGAAGUGUUUUAUGGAGAUGAUCUCAUUGCAGACUCGGUUUCCUUGAACAGCCAUCUCUGCCAGGGUGGUUUCUUCCCGGCCCUGUGGGUGCACCUGUGUGAACAGUCUUGGCAGCCUGAACACAUGCCAUCUCUACCUGACAUGUACCACUCUUGGUGCUGUAGUUCUAGAACUGAUCUGGAAAUGCUUGCAGCCUGUCUCCCUGUGGGGCUCCGGCAGUGAGUUCCUCUACGCUGAGGACGAGAUGUCUUCCAAUCCCAGGAGUGAGGGCUCAGGGAGUUCACAGUCACCACUCCUUGGGCAAAGGGUGAAAAGCUGUCAUGGUGGGCACACAUUCCAGCCCCUGAGUGUGCACACAUUUAAUGGUGUCAUCUCCCAGAAUAAUCCCCAGCAAAGUGUGCCUGACACCCAGGAUGAGGCCAACCCACAGACAUGGCAGGUCCUUACAGCAAAGGAUGUUUGCCAAGGAGGCUGGAAUUUUUCUGUGAGGAUCUGUAAUUUGUCCUUAAAGGGAAAAUUCUCUAGAUUUCAGUUUAAUAACUGAUGCGAGUGUUAGAAAAUUACAAAUGAGACAUUAAAUAGUAACAGCUUUUCCCAGAGACAAUGGCAGCUUCCGCUGUGACAAGAGACAUCUGAACAGCGCAAGCCACAGAGAGACACUGUCCACUGCCCUUCAGGAGCAGCUGCAUUGGGCCUCCCACCUUCAAAUGUCCUGUAGGUGUCUAGUGCCCUGAAUUUCAAAGUGUGGGGUUGUCUUGAGGAGGAAGCAAUGGCAGCAGGAGGUCACACAGACGGGGGAAUCCUGGCUCCUGCCACUCACCGCUGUAGGAAAAGUUCAAGUUCUUGCAUGGACUCUGCUUGUUCACCUAUAAAAUCAGAUUGUUCUUGAGUAACAAACCAACUGAAAAUUUGGUGGCUGUAACAAUAAUGUUUUUUUUUUUA